ACACAAUAAAUAUCUUGUAUGUGUUAAUGUUAAUAUACCACACACAGUUGUUUUCAUGUUCAACAAUAUGAAGGUCUGUGCAUUCGACUGUAUUCAAUGGUUUAAUUAACCCAUAGCAAGUGGUAACAAUGUAUUAUAUUGUGCAGUUAUUGUUAAGUUAUAUGAGGAUGAAUAUUUGCGAGAAAUGGUUGAAAAAUAGAACCACAGUUUGUCAAAUGGUUUACAUUCAUAUUGGCACAACACACUGACACAUGUGCAUUCAACUACAUUUUACUAAUGUUGCACAAUAUGACAAACAGUUUCGUACAUUAGUAUUUGUGAUCGAUUGAAACUUGACCAGAGGAUCUACUCAACUACUUGCAGCUUGACAUUUUGCAAUAAAAAAAAGAAAAAAAAAAGUAAUUUGUUUGGUCGCUGGUGUUUAAAUGCAGUUUCGGAAAAUCCGUUCCGGGAUACAUCUGAAACGGCAGAUUUUAUGCAUUUCGUUGUGCACGGAUUUUACCCAGAGCUCGACCCAGAGGCAUUCCCCGACAGAUCCAGCCCAGUAACUCCCAAUACCGAUGACCUGCGGCAGCUUUAACCUCAGCAUUGUUGAAAACCUCCGGUAGAACUAAAGGAGAAGAAGAGCGAUGUCGUUUAGCAAAAUGUUCAUACAUGGUUCCGAUUCUCGUCGCUCAACGGCCGGCAGGGAAAAGUGAACAAAAUGUGGCUCACUGCCGGCAUUCGUUGGAGCCGCAACAAUUGGUGGAGGAAUUGCAUCUAGUAGGAUGGGAGUGGCUGCUGGGCAUGAGUCUUGGAAUAGAUGGUAAAUAGUUGAUGAAUAAAAAAUCUACAGAAAAGAAAACACAACCGCCUUUUUAUUUCUAAGCGGUUGAAAUGCAGCAGAACCAUAUGUCAUAGGCUUAAAAUACCAUGAAAUACCAUUAAUCAAUAAUAUCACAUACAGUGCUCGUUUUCUCCCAGAUUUAUUGUGGAACUGUUGUCCAACCAUUUGCUAUGCAGUGAAUGGUCUGAAAAACUGGAUAAUAUAUUGACCGUAUCCUUUACUGUAUUGCGAAAAAUUUGUUCGAGAAAACGAGCGAUUUUUUAUGGUAACCUAUCUUAACCGCCUAUUCAACAAACUGUAAUUUGGCGGAUUACCAUUUGUCAAACUGGCAAAUCUGUACAUAGAAUAGUUGUCUUACUGUUAUCUUGGACAGCCUGAGGAAUGGUUACAUGACAAUUGCUAAUAGUCAUCCACAGUAUGAGAAACGUUGCAUUUACAGUUUGUGAUUAUGUGGGUUGUGGGUCGAGGAAAUAGUAGUCCAGGCUUCUGAUUUUGUUGUAGAAUACGAUGCCUAACGCCAUAUUACCUGAACCUCCCUUUUUAGGUGUCUGUUGAGCUGAUUAAAAAAAAAUCAGAAAAAUAUUACUAAACCCUACCAAUUUACCGUCAACCUCAAACCUAUGAAUUCUCUUGCCCUACGCCUUCCUCAGGCCUUUGAAACGAAAUCAUUUUAUUCCAAUCAAAAACCGAAACAGGCUGUCAAUCAUACCUGCACAGUUUCGAACACAUGUGUUGAAACAAAAUCACAUUGCCAUACUCAAUCCUUACAACCUCUCUCCCAUAUCAACUACAUCCAAGUAUACAUAAGCAUGUUUAUAUCAAACAUAAACAAAUCGAUUCGACAAAACUGUGACAAACGAGUUUUCCCCGUCGCCAGCAGAUAGAAGCUGAAACCAUUUCAGUGCAGUGCAGUGCACAGAUUAGUAGCUAUACAGUUGAGUCUCCUACUACGCCUUAUCAACCGAAUUACGCUCAUCAAAAUUUCUCGGUUGUAUUUCUACCAAAUAAGAUACCUAUGUGUUUGCAAUUAUUCAGCCCGUUACGCCAUAACUACACCCAAAACCAUCAGGUCAAACGGAUGCAAUAGAUCGAAGAAAUUGUGGUGCGCAUACUGUUCGUGGCAGGGCUCAGUAGGAAACUUAACUGUUAGGUAUGCAUACCUCACUGCCAUUUCCGUGUCAUUGCAUCAUCGUUUGAUCCUUCAACAUGCGAGCUGAAUAAGUGGUUGGGAUGGAAUGCAUACGUAACUACAGCUGGAAUAGUACAAAAAUCUUCAUUACAGCGGUUUUUCUGUGGUAAAAACUGAAUGAAAUCAUGUUUUUUUUCAGAGCUUUUCUACAUUGUUGUUUGUGAAAAAAAGAUGUCUAUAUCAGCUCGAUUAACAUAUUUAAAAAAUGCAUAAUAUUUUUGAAUUUUCAUGACUUAUUCUAAUAACGUAUGCCCAAACACGAAAAGCAAUUGAAAACGAUAUCAUAUUCGGGUCAUUUAUAUGCAUCACCAAGAUUGUUGGUAAGCACUUGUGGCCCUUAUCCACGUGUAGUGAAAUGGCUCACUGUGUAGGCUGCACCCACGCAACAACCAAUUGUAAUGGUGAAACACUAAACUAGGCAACUAACUUUUAUCUCUGCGGGAAAUGACCGGUUUGGGUCGUUGUUUCCGGACCUGCUGCAAUGUCAAUCUACCUACCUACAUAACGAUUCGAUGUCGGUAUUUGCGGUUGACAUUCCAGGAGCCGUAUGGUCAGUAGUAGCGGCUGUUUUUCUGUACCCUUUUGAAAUGAAUAUAAAAACACACCCAACCCACCCACUGACAAAGUGAAAUUGAAAUGAAAAAUUAUGCGAAAAAAACAAUAUCAAGGUCAUGGUUUGGGCAUAGUUGUGAGCAGGAACAUAGAUGACCACGCAAUCCGUUGUUGUUAGUCCGUGUUUGACCGGAAUAAUCGAAAUUGCACAGAAAACCAAUUAAUGAUGCUUAGGAUUAGCGUGCACAAUUCGGGAACUCCCAACUGUCAAUAACAGCAUCGGCUACGUCCUUACGGUUAUCCAGGAAGGGAAGGAAUAUUAGCUAGGCAACCGUUAUUAUGGAGAUCGAAAAUCUCUGUAUCUCCACGGUUGAAAUUAAUGAGAUUCGUUUUCCUGU